UGGGGAAUUUUGGACAAUGGGCGAAAGCCUGAUCCAGCAAUGCCGCGUGUGUGAAGAAGGCCUUCGGGUUGUAAAGCACUUUUGUCCGGAAAGAAAUCCUUGGCGCUAAUACAGUCGGGGGAUGACGGUACCGGAAGAAUAAGCACCGGCUAACUACGUGCCAGCAGCCGCGGUAAUACGUAGGGUGCAAGCGUUAAUCGGAAUUACUGGGCGUAAAGCGUGCGCAGGCGGUUUGCUAAGACCGAUGUGAAAUCCCCGGGCUCAACCUGGGAACUGCAUUGGUGACUGGCAGGCUAGAGUAUGGCAGAGGGGGGUAGAAUUCCACGUGUAGCAGUGAAAUGCGUAGAGAUGUGGAGGAAUACCGAUGGCGAAGGCAGCCCCCUGGGCCAAUACUGACGCUCAUGCACGAAAGCGUGGGGGAGCAAACAGGAUUAGAUACCCUGGUAGUCCACGCCCUAAACGAUGUCAACUAGUUGUUGGGGAUUCAUUUCCUUAGUAACGUAGCUAACGCGUGAAGUUGACCGCCUGGGGAGUACGGUCGCAAAGAUUAAAACUCAAAUGAAUUGACGGGGUCAUAGCUGUUUCCU
rnacentral:rRNA from 1 species